rfam:Bacteria symbiont BFo2 of Frankliniella occidentalis strain BFo2 contig382, whole genome shotgun sequence.
GCGUUCUUAGCUCAGUUGGUUAGAGCACCACCUUGACAUGGUGGGGGUCGGUGGUUCGAGUCCACUAGAACGCA